UCACUCUUUCUUUCUCUCUUUGUUGGUGUGUAGAAAUGAGAGUUGAAGCUCUCCUUUUAUAGCCAAAGCUUCACUCUCUAAAGCCUACCAUAUUUGACAAUUUACACACACUUUUCACAAUUCAACAAAGUUGGCUACCAAACCAAAGAAAUUCAACAAAGUUGGCUACCAAACCAAACUAAUUCAACAAGGUUGGUUACCAACCAAACCAAGUCAACAAGGUUGGCUACCAAACCAAAGAAAACUUUUAUUAGGCACAUGCCUAGUACUUCUUCAAUGAGAUGGACCUCAUCAAUCUUCCCCUCCAGUCUCAUUCAUCUAGAGGAGGUAGCACUGUCUUCUAGUUUGAGUGCAUGCCGACAAGUUCUUUGCAUAG
rnacentral:lncRNA from 1 species